GCCGAUGUAGCUCAGUUGGUAGAGCGCAUCCUUGGUAAGGAUGAGGUCACCAGUUCAAACCUGGUCAUCGGCUCCA
rnacentral:tRNA from 1 species